ACGGGUGAGUAAUAUAUCGGAACGUGCCCUAGAGUGGGGGAUAACUAGUCGAAAGACUAGCUAAUACCGCAUACGAUCUAAGGAUGAAAGUGGGGGAUCGCAAGACCUCAUGCUCCUGGAGCGGCCGAUAUCUGAUUAGCUAGUUGGUGGGGUAAAAGCCUACCAAGGCGACGAUCAGUAGCUGGUCUGAGAGGACGACCAGCCACACUGGGACUGAGACACGGCCCAGACUCCUACGGGAGGCAGCAGUGGGGAAUUUUGGACAAUGGGGGCAACCCUGAUCCAGCAAUGCCGCGUGAGUGAAGAAGGCCUUCGGGUUGUAAAGCUCUUUUGUCAGGGAAGAAACGGUGGUAGCUAAUAUCUACUACUAAUGACGGUACCUGAAGAAUAAGCACCGGCUAACUACGUGCCAGCAGCCGCGGUAAUACGUAGGGUGCAAGCGUUAAUCGGAAUUACUGGGCGUAAAGCGUGCGCAGGCGGUUGUGUAAGACAGAUGUGAAAUCCCCGGGCUCAACCUGGGAAUUGCAUUUGUGACUGCACGGCUAGAGUGUGUCAGAGGGGGGUAGAAUUCCACGUGUAGCA
rnacentral:rRNA from 1 species